rnacentral:misc_RNA from 1 species
UCACAACCAUAUGCUAGGA